GUGGGUUAUAAAUCGAGGUCAAAGAGGGUAAAGAUUAGAGCCUUAAGACUGGCAGUCUUGAGGUCAGGGGUUCGAUCCCCCUCAGCUCCACCA
rnacentral:tRNA from 1 species